rnacentral:tRNA from 1 species
GGGGGUAUGCUCAGUGGUAGAGGGCAUGCCUAGCAUGCAUGAGAGCCUAGGUUCAGCCCCCAGUACCUCCA